UCGGGAAUAUUGCGCAAUGGAGGAAACUCUGACGCAGUGACGCCGCGUGCAGGAAGAAGGUUUUCGAUUGUAAACUGCUUUAGACAGGGAAGAUGAUGACAGUACCUGUAGAAUAAGCUCCGGCUAACUACGUGCC
rnacentral:rRNA from 1 species